rnacentral:rRNA from 1 species
GUGAACGUGGCGGCGUGGAUUAGGCAUGCAAGUCGAGCGAUCGUAGCAAUACGGGAGCGGCAAACGGGGUAGGAAUACAUCGGAACGUACCCUUUGGUUGGGAAUAGCGUUGGGAAACUGACGGUAAUACCCAAUAAAGUCGAGAGACCAAAGGUUUACUGCCGGAGGAGCGGCCGAUGCGAUAUUAGGUAGUUGGUGGGGUAAUGGCCUACCAAGCCUGAGAUGUCUAGGGGGUGUGAGAGCAUGGCCCCCACCACUGGGACUGAGAGACUGCCCAGACACCUACGGGUGGCUGCAGUCGAGGAUCUUCGUCAAUGGGCGAAAGCCUGAACGAGCGACGCCGCGUGCGGGAUGAAGGCCCUUGGGUUGUAAACCGCUGUCAGGGGGGAUGAAACCGUAAGGUUGACAGAGCCCCAGAGGAAGCACGGGCUAAGUUCGUGCCAGCAGCCGCGGUAAUACGAACUGUGCGAACGUUACUCGGAAUCACUGGGCUUACAGGGUGCGUAGGUGGCUUGAUAAGCAGGGUGUGAAAUCCCUCGGCUCAACCGAGGAACUGCGCUCUGAACUGUCGAGCUAGAGUAUGCUAGAGGUGAAUGGAACAUCCAGUGGAGCGGUGAAAUGUGUUGAUAUUGGAUGGAACACCAGAGGCGAAGGCGAUUCACUGGGGCAUAACUGACACUGAGGCACGAAAGCCAGGGGAGCAAACGGGAUUAGAUACCCCGGUAGUCCUGGCCGUAAACGAUGCUGACUUGGUGUCCCGGGUUUUUAUU